GACGAACGCUGGCGGCGUGCCUAACACAUGCAAGUCGAGCGAAGAAUUGGGAGCUUGCUCUUGAUUCUUAGCGGCGGACGGGUGAGUAACGCGUGAGCAACCUGCCUCGAACUGGGGGAUAACGCAUCGAAAGAUGUGCUAAUACCGCGUAAGACCACAGCACCACAUGGUACAGUGUGAAAAACUCCGGUGGUACAGGAUGGACCCGCGUCUGAUUAGUUAGUUGGCAGGGUAACGGCCUACCAAGACGACGAUCAGUAGCCGGCUUGAGAGAGUGAACGGCCACAUUGGAACUGAGACACGGUCCAAACUCCUACGGGAGGCAGCAGUGGGGAAUAUUGCACAAUGGGGGAAACCCUGAUGCAGCGACGCCGCGUGAGCGAAGAAGUAUUUCGGUAUGUAAAGCUCUAUCAGCAGGGAAGAUAAUGACGGUACCUGACUAAGAAGCCCCGGCUAACUACGUG
rnacentral:rRNA from 1 species